GAUGAACGCUGGCGGCGUGCCUAAUACAUGCAAGUCGAGCGAACAGACGAGGAGCUUGCUCCUCUGAUGUUAGCGGCGGACGGGUGAGUAACACGUGGAUAACCUACCUAUAAGACUGGGAUAACUUCGGGAAACCGGAGCUAAUACCGGAUAACAUGUUGAACCGCAUGGUUCAACAGUGAAAGACGGUCUUGCUGUCACUUAUAGAUGGAUCCGCGCCGCAUUAGCUAGUUGGUAAGGUAACGGCUUACCAAGGCAACGAUGCGUAGCCGACCUGAGAGGGUGAUCGGCCACACUGGAACUGAGACACGGUCCAGACUCCUACGGGAGGCAGCAGUAGGGAAUCGUCCGAAAUGGGCGAAAGCCUGACGGAGCAACGCCGCGUGAGUGAAGAAGGUCUUCGGAUCGUAAAACGCUGUUAUUAGGGAAGAACAAAUGUGUAAGUAACUAUGCACGUCUUGACGGUACCUAAUCAGAAAGCCACGGCUAACUACGU
rnacentral:rRNA from 1 species